rnacentral:misc_RNA from 1 species
AAAAUAAUCCUACCCUUUGUGAAUUUUGUUUGUUUGAAUAAUUUUUUUUUUUAAAAAAAUUAUUGGAGUCUUUCCCUUUAGAGUUUGCUUUUGAGUUUGUAAAAGAAUUCGAAAACAUCUAAAGGGGAUGGUCAAUAAUUUUUUUUGAAAAAAGACAUUUUUUAAAAUUAAACUUUUUGUAUUCAUUUGUCUAAAAAUUAUUUUUAUAAUAUAAAAACAACUUUUGACAAUGGAUCUCUUGGUUCUCGCAACGAUGAAGAACGCAGCAAAAUGCGAUAAGUAGUGUGAAUUGCAGAAUACGUGAAUCAUCGAAUCUUUGAACGCAUAUUGCACUUUUUUAGUUUACUAAAAAAGUAUGUCUGUUUGAGUAUCAGUAAAAUAUUCUCAUAAAAAUCAUUGUAUUUUUAUGGUUAUGAGUGUUUUACAACGAUACAAGUUGUUUCACUUUAAAUUUUUUUUUAAUAUUGAAAUUUUUCUAAUUUUAAUAAUUAAAAUUGGAUAAAAUUUUCCCGUCAAAAGGAAUAACCUAAACAAUUUUAAAUGAUUAAUUUUAGCAAAAUUUUCGUAAAAAGGAAAAUUUUUAUUAAAAUAACUUGAUCUCAAAUCAGAUAAGAGUACCCGCUGAACUUAAGCAUAUCAAUAAGCGGAGGAAAAGAAACUAACAAGGAUUCCUUAGUAACGGCGAGUGAAGCGGGAAGAGCUCAAAUUUGAAAUCUUCAAGGUUUUACCUUGACGAAUUGUAGUUUAAAGAAGUGUUUUCUGCUGAAGUUUUGGUAAAAGUUCUUUGGAAUAGGACAUCAUAGAGGGUGAGAAUCCCGUAUUUGACCAUUAUUUUCAGCUUUGUGAUACACUUUCAAAGAGUCGGAUUGUUGGGAAUGCAGACCAAAAUGGGUGGUAAAUUUCAUCUAAAGCUAAAUAUUGGCGAGAGACCGAUAGCGAACAAGUACCGUGAGGGAAAGAUGAAAAGAACUUUGAAAAGAGAGUUAAACAGUACGUGAAAUUGUCAAAAGGGAAGCGUUUGACACCAGUGUUGUUUUCUCGAAAAUCAAUUAAAAAUGGCUCGAUUUUGUAUUGCUGAGACCUUAAAAGCUCACUGUACAUUUUUCGUGUCUUUUUUAAUGCACUUUUCGUUUAACAAGUCAACAUCAGUUUCUUUUGUUGUAAAAGGGUCAUUGGAAGGUGGCUUUCUUUUCGGAGAAAGUGUUUAUAGCCUUUGGCCUCUGCAAUCGGAGAGACUGAGGUCUGCAGCGUAGACUCUUCGGGUUAGAUACAUUUGUGCUAAGUUAUAGCUUUUUAUAGACAACUGUUGACUAUAAUUAGUCUUGUAGCUUACUCGCUUAUGCUAUUU